GGUUGAUCCUGCCAGAGGUUACUGCUAUUGGUGUUCGACUAAGCCAUGCAAGUCAUAUGUUCCUCGUGAACAUGGCAUACUGCUCAGUAACACGUGGAUAACCUGCUUGGGUCUGGGAUAACCCCCGGGAAACUGGGGGGGAUAAUACUGGAUAACGCAUAUGUGCUGGAAUGCUUUAUGCGUAAAACGGAUUCGUCCGCCCAAGGAUGGGUCUGCGGCCUAUCAGGUAGUAGUGGGUGUAAUGUACCUACUAGCCAACAACGGGUACGGGUUGUGAGAGCAAGAGCCCGGAGAUGGAUUCUGAGACAUGAAUCCAGGCCCUACGGGGGGGCGCAGCAGGCGCGAAAACUUUACAAUGCGGGAAACCGUGAUAAGGGAACACCGAGUGCCAGCAUCAUAUGCUGGCUGUCCAGAUGUGUAAACUACAUCUGUUAGCAAGGGCCGGGCAAGACCGGUGCCAGCCGCCGCGGUAACACCGGCGGCCCGAGUGGUGACCGUUAUUAUUGGGUCUAAAGGGUCCGUAGCCGGUUUGGUCAGUCCUCCGGGAAAUCUGAUAGCUUAACUGUUAGGCUUUCGGGGGGGGAUACUGCCAGGCUUGGAACCGGGAGAGGUAAGAGGUACUACAGGGGGGGGUAGGAGUGAAAUCUUGUAAUCCCUGUGAGACCACCUGUGGCGAAGGCGCCUCACCAGAACGGGUUCGACAGUGAGGGACGAAAGCUGGGGGGGAGCAAACCGGAUUAGAUACCGGGUAGUCCCAGCCGUAAACUAUGCGCGUUAGGUGUAUCGGUGACCACGAGUUACCGAGGUGCCGAAGGGAAACCGUGAAACGUGCCGCCUGGGAAGUACGGCCGCAAGGCUGAAACUUAAAGGAAUUGGCGGGGGAGCACCACAACAGGUGGAGCCUGCGGUUUAAUUGGACUCAACG
rnacentral:rRNA from 1 species